rnacentral:rRNA from 1 species
GGGUUGUGAGGUUAAGCGAACAAGCGUACACGGUGGAUGCCCUGGCAGUCAGAGGCGAUGAAGGACGUGCUAAUCUGCGAAAAGCGCCGGUAAGGUGAUAUGAACCGUUAUAACCGGCGAUGUCCGAAUGGGGAAACCCGGUGCACUUCGGUGCAUCAUCGUUAGCUGAAUACAUAGGCUAACGAGGCGAACCGGGGGAACUGAAACAUCUAAGUACCCCGAGGAAAAGAAAUCAACCGAGAUUCCCCCAGUAGCGGCGAGCGAACGGGGAACAGCCCAGAGCCUGAAUCAGCUUGUGUGUCAGUGGAACGGUCUGGAAAGGCCGGCGAUACAGGGUGACAGCCCCGUACACGAAGGCACACAGGCUGUGAGCUCGAUGAGUAGGGCGGGACACGUGAUAUCCUGUCUGAAGAUGGGGGGACCAUCCUCCAAGGCUAAAUACUCCUGACUGACCGAUAGUGAACCAGUACCGUGAGGGAAAGGCGAAAAGAACCCCGGCGAGGGGAGUGAAACAGAACCUGAAACCGUGUACGUACAAGCAGUGGGAGCCUUCGUAAGAGGGUGACUGCGUACCUUUUGUAUAAUGGGUCAGCGACUUAUAUUCUGUAGCAAGGUUAACCGUAUAGGGGAGCCGAAGGGAAACCGAGUCUUAACCGGGCGUUAAGUUGCAGGGUAUAGACCCGAAACCCGGUGAUCUAGCCAUGGGCAGGUUGAAGGUUGGGUAACACUAACUGGAGGACCGAACCGACUAAUGUUGAAAAAUUAGCGGAUGACCUGUGGCUGGGGGUGAAAGGCCAAUCAAACCGGGAGAUAGCUGGUUCUCCCCGAAAGCUAUUUAGGUAGCGCCUCGUGAACUCAUCUCCGGGGGUAGAGCACUGUUUCGGCUAGGGGGCCAUCCCGGCUUACCAACCCGAUGCAAACUGCGAAUACCGGAGAAUGUUAUCACGGGAGACACACGGCGGGUGCUAACGUCCGUCGUGAAGAGGGAAACAACCCAGACCGCCAGCUAAGGUCCCAAAGUCAUGGUUAAGUGGGAAACGAUGUGGGAAGGCCCAGACAGCCAGGAUGUUGGCUUAGAAGCAGCCAUCAUUUAAAGAAAGCGUAAUAGCUCACUGGUCGAGUCGGCCUGCGCGGAAGAUGUAACGGGGCUAAACCAUGCACCGAAGCUGCGGCAGCGACACUAUGUGUUGUUGGGUAGGGGAGCGUUCUGUAAGCCUG